rnacentral:rRNA from 1 species
ACUAACAGGAUUCCCCGAGUAAUGGCGAAUGAAACGGGAAAAGCCCAAAUUUGAAAUCUCCUAGCUUAACGCUAGGCGAGUUGUAAUUUGUAGAAGGUCUUCAUCUGAACUGUGUUUGCUAAAGUCCAUUGGAAAAUGGCGGGCCUUUAUGGUCCUCAAGUCGUAGAGGGUGACAACCCCGUUCUUGGCAUUCUACUAGUUCUUUUGUAUGAUUCCUUCAAAGAGUCGGAUUGUUUGGGAAUGCAAUCCAAAAUGGGUGGUAAAUUCCAUCCAAGGCUAAAUAUUAGCAAGAGACCGAUAGCGAACAAGUACCGUGAGGGAAAGAUGAAAAGAACUCUGAAGAGAGAGUUCAACAGUACGUGAAAUUGCUGAAAGGGAAACGCUUGAAACGAUUGUUGCUUUUGGCUUCGGCCUUGAGCGAGUCAGUAGCAGUUUUGAACGGUAAAGAAGUGCUUAAAGAAGGUAGUUUUCUUCGGAAAAUGUUAUAGCUUUAAGUAACUGUGCCGGUUAAGACUGAGGAUCGCUUUUAAGUGUCUUGUCGAGGAAUUUUGGGCCGUUAGCGCCAAGGCCUUGGGCUUGCUCAAGACUUGGUGUUAACGGUUCAGGACGACCAAACACAAGGCCUUAAAAUAGGUUACUGACAAAAUGGUUUUAAUCGACCCGUCUUGAAACACGGACCAAGGAGUGCAACAAAUUUGCAAGUCGUAGGGUGACAAACCUGAAGGCGCAAUGAAAGUGAAAAAAUACCACCCGGUAACACGGGACAGUAUUGCCCGGUCUUGCGGCUACUGCCAAAGGAUCUGAGGUAGAGCAAAUUUGCUGCGACCCGAAAGAUGGUGAACUAUGCCUGCAUAGGGCGAAGCCAGAGGAAACUCUGGUGGAGGCUCGUAGCGAUUCUGACGUGCAAAUCGAUCGUCAAAUGUGGGUAUAGGGCGAAAGACUAAUCGAACCAU